rnacentral:tRNA from 1 species
GGAGAGAUCGCGUAGCCUGGCUUAGCGCGCACGCUUGGAAAGCGUGUAACCUGAAAGGGUUCGAGGGUUCAAAUCCCUCUCUCUCCG